AUUGAACGCUGGCGGCAUGCUUUACACAUGCAAGGCGAACGGUAACAGGCCGCAAGGUGCUGACGAGUGGCGAACGGGUGAGUAAUGCAUCGGAACGUGCCCAGUCGUGGGGGAUAACGCAGCGAAAGCUGUGCUAAUACCGCAUACGAUCUGUGGAUGAAAGCGGGGGACCGAAAGGCCUCGCGCGAUUGGAGCGGCCAAUGUCAGGUUAGGUAGUUGGUGGGGUAAAGGGUCACCAAGCCAACGGUCUGUAGCUGGUUGGAGAGGACGACCAGCCACAAUGGGACUGAGACACGGCCCAGACUCCUACGGGAGGCAGCAGUGGGGAAUUUUGGACAAUGGGCGCAAGCCUGAUCCAGCAAUGCCGCGUUCAGGAAGAAGGCCUUCGGGUUGUAAACUGCUUUUGUACGGAGCGAAAAGGCUCUCUCUAAUACAGGGGGCUCAUGACGGUACCGUAAGAAUAAGCACCGGCUAACUACGUGCCAGCCGCCGCAGUAACAC
rnacentral:rRNA from 1 species